rnacentral:rRNA from 1 species
CGACCGGCGCACGGGUGAGUAACACGUAUCCAACCUGCCGUCUACUCUUGGACAGCCUUCUGAAAGGAAGAUUAAUACAAGAUGGCAUCAUGAGUCCGCAUGUUCACAUGAUUAAAGGUAUUCCGGUAGACGAUGGGGAUGCGUUCCAUUAGAUAGUAGGCGGGGUAACGGCCCACCUAGUCUUCGAUGGAUAGGGGUUCUGAGAGGAAGGUCCCCCACAUUGGAACUGAGACACGGUCCAAACUCCUACGGAAGGCAGCAG